rnacentral:rRNA from 1 species
GAUGAACGCUGGCGGCGUGCUUAACACAUGCAAGUCGAACGAAGCACUUUAUUUGAUUUCCUUCGGGACUGAUUAUUUUGUGACUGAGUGGCGGACGGGUGAGUAACGCGUGGGUAACCUGCCUUGUACAGGGGGAUAACAGUUGGAAACGGCUGCUAAUACCGCAUAAGCGCACGGCAUCGCAUGAUGCAGUGUGAAAAACUCCGGUGGUAUAAGAUGGACCCGCGUUGGAUUAGCUAGUUGGUGAGGUAACGGCCCACCAAGGCGACGAUCCAUAGCCGACCUGAGAGGGUGACCGGCCACAUUGGGACUGGGACACGGCCCAAACUCCUACGGGAGGCAGCAGUGGGGAAUAUUGCACCAUGGGCGAAAGCCUGAUGCAGCGACGCCGCGUGAGCGAAGAAGUAUUUCGGUAUGUAAAGCUCUAUCAGCAGGGAAGAUAAUGACGGUACCUGACUAAGAAGCACCGGCUAAAUACGUG